AACGAACGCUGGCGGCAUGCCUAACACAUGCAAGUCGAACGAGACCUUCGGGUCUAGUGGCGCACGGGUGCGUAACGCGUGGGAACCUGCCUUUAGGUUCGGAAUAACUCAGAGAAAUUUGAGCUAAUACCGGAUAAUGUCUUCGGACCAAAGAUUUAUCGCCUUUAGAUGGGCCCGCGUUGGAUUAGCUAGUUGGUGGGUAAAGGCCUACCAAGGCGACGAUCCAUAGCUGGUCUGAGAGGAUGAUCAGCCACACUGGGACUGAGACACGGCCCAGACUCCUACGGGAGCAGCAGUGGGGAAUAUGGACAAUGGGCGAAAGCCUGAUCCAGCAAUGCCGCGUGAGUGAUGAAGGCCUUAGGUGUAAAGCUCUUUACCCGAGAUGAUAAUGACAGUAUCGGAGAAUAAGCUACCGGCUAACUCCGUGCCAGCAGCCGCGGUAAUGUGA
rnacentral:rRNA from 1 species